CGGAGGGUGGCUGGCGUGCAGCUCUACAUCAACCACCUCAAGCCUGCCCGCCUCGGCGACCGCAUCAAGGCCAAGGCGAACCCCAUCCGGUACCUCGACCCCGACGCGUACUUGGACAAGAGUUACUUGGAAAUAUUGACAUUCUCAAACCAAAUAUGAGGUGCCCUUUAUUCAGUCCAUGGGAGUAUAUGUAAGUUGACUGCUUCAAACCCAAUCCGUGCUUGCUGUUUAGUGAAUAAAUAUGCUGGUAGAAAAUUGCAAACUUCGUAAUAUGAAUAAAUAUUUGAUGGUAAGUUGCGAUGAAGAUUAAAAUUGUAU